rnacentral:sRNA from 1 species
ACAAAAUUGACAAUGGCAGAUGCUGGUUGACCAGGAUCUAAUUCAGCAAACAGGUGGCAAGUGUUGUCAUUUCCUCCGCUCUGUUUCUUUGCCACAAAACCGAAUAUUCUAGAGAAGAAAAAAAUCACAAAAUGAGUAAAGAUAUGCAUCCUCUGAACGAAAAAGAAACAGGUUGCUGCCAGAUUUGCAAGGGGAUCAUCUUUAGGAAUCAGAUCAUAUUGAUAAUCAAAUCAAUUUCCGAGUUGUGCAAACAACAGAAUUUAGUUGGCAUCAACACACUCAUAGACACAUCAAAAGAUGAAGUUUGUGAUCAUUUGAUGCAACUUAACAAACAUGAGAAUUGGACUCCAUUUCAAAUGAAAUCUAAAUAAACAAUCCCCCCAAAAAAUGAAUGAAAACCACCAUUCCAAGCAUAAUGCAAACAGUUUGAAUGGGUGUGGUGUGAAAACUAAUCAGACAAGAAGUGACAGCAAAUCUUCCAAAAUCUUUAACUCAUUGGCAUGGCAGUUGGGGAGUUUUGUCGUUAGGUGGAAUUGAUAUACAAGGAUUUUUUUUUUUUGCCGUGGCUCCAUGGCAACCUGCCAGACUGACAGCAACAGGAUGUUCCUAGCUGAUCAUCCUCCUCAUCUGUAUUACAUUCUGGAAUCUGCGGAUUUAUAAUUAUCUUUUUUUGUUUCUGAGGGUUUUCCUUUGUUGUUUUUUUUUUUGGUUAGCACAGAGACAGCUUAUUAAAUGAAAUUUGAUGAAAUUUAUAUACCGUAAAUUAAUAUCAUUGAUCCCAUGAAAAUGCUAAUGUAAUUCAAAAGAAUCAAGUGCAACUAUCAGAUAUACAUGACUAUGUAUGUAUAUGUAUGAUUAAAGAUAAUCUUUGUAUGGUACAGUAAACUGGAUUUGAAGAAG